GUGAAGUUGAUCACAAGCAAACAUUUACCCCUUUGUUUGACCGUGAAAAAUUUCUCCCAUCCCCUUUGUUCGUAUAAAAUAGAAAAAAGACUUUGUAGUUGGAGCUGCAAGGUCUUUUU
rnacentral:sRNA from 1 species